UACGGGGGGGGGCAAGCGUUGUUCGGAAUCAUUGGGCGUAAAGAGCGCGUAGGCGGCCAGAUAAGUCCGGUGUGAAAGUCACAGGCUCAACCUGUGAAUGCCGCUGGAAACUGUCUGGCUAGAGUCCGGAAGGGGCGACUGGAAUUCCUGGUGCGCGGUGAAAUGCGCAGAUAUCAGGAGGAACGCCAUGCGAAGGCAGCUCGCUGGGACGGUACUGACGCUGAGGCGCGAAAGCGUGGGGAGCAA
rnacentral:rRNA from 1 species